rnacentral:rRNA from 1 species
AGUGAACGCUGGCGGUAGGCCUAACACAUGCAAGUCGAACGGCAGCACAGUAAGAGCUUGCUCUUACGGGUGGCGAGUGGCGGACGGGUGAGGAAUACAUCGGAAUCUACUUUUUCGUGGGGGAUAACGUAGGGAAACUUACGCUAAUACCGCAUACGACCUACGGUUGAAAGCAGGGGAUCUUCGGGCCUUGCGCGGUUGAAUGAGCCGCUGUCGGAUUAGCUAGUUGGCGGGGUAAAGGCCCACCAAGGCGACGAUCCGUAGCUGGUCUGAGAGGAUGAUCCGCCACACUGGAACUGAGACACGGUCCAGACUCCUACGGGAGGCAGCAGUGGGGAAUAUUGGACAAUGGGCGCAAGCCUGAUCCAGCCAUACCGCGUGGGUGAAGAAGGCCUUCGGGUUGUAAAGCCCUUUUGUUGGGAAAGAAAAGCAGCAGGUUAAUACCCCGCUGUUCUGACGGUACCCAAAGAAUAAGCACCGGCUAACUUCGUG